rnacentral:rRNA from 1 species
CCUACGGGUGGCAGCAGCUAAGAAUAUUCCGCAAUGGACGGAAGUCUGACGGAGCGACGCCGCGUGGAUGAAGAAGGCUGAAAAGUUGUAAAAUCCUUUUGUUGAUGAAGAAUAAGGGUGAGAGGGAAUGCUCAUCUGAUGAUGGUAAUCGACGAAUAAGCCCCGGCUAAUUACGUGCCAACAGCCGCGGUAACACGUAAGGGGCGAGCGUUGUUCGGAAUUAUGGGGCGUAAAGGGCAUGUAGGCGGCUAUGUAAGCCUGAUGUGAAAUCCUGGGGCUUAACCCUAGAAUAGCAUUGGGUACUGUAUAGCUUGAAUUACGGAAGGGAAACUGGAAUUCCAAGUGUAGGGGUGGAAGCUGUAGAUAUUUGGAAGAACACCGGUGGCGAAGGCGGGUUUCUGGCCGAUAAUUGACGCUGAGAUGCGAAAGUGUGGGGAUCGAACAGGAUUAGAUACCCCAGUAGUC